GAUCAUGACACUGUGGCACUCAUUUAGGCAAGGGUAUUGUAACGACAGAUUCGGACGAAGAGGAGGUGUAGCAGGGAUCGGACUAAAACGCAGCGUGGCAGAAAGUAAAAAAAGGAAGCGCCCGUGAUUAGGUCUAUCCAACGCUUGUCUGGAGUUGCCAGUGGAAAGGGCAAGUCAAAACAUUGGCUCACCUCUUGGGGCACGUUGUGUGGGGGCUGCCAACUCAGCAGAUAUUAGUGUUGAUAGUUCUGUCAGGUGAGUUCACCGCCCAACUCCCAAUACACAAAAGGGGAUCUUCAAGAGAUGACGCACACAUCUAAGUAUCCAUCUAAGACCAUUAAAGUCGGACCACGUGACUGCUGCACAUAACUUCAAACCCAGAUAGAGUUACAGUAUAGUAGUGAUUCAGUUUGCUAUCGUGGUUCCUGACAUCGAAGCUGCUCAGAGUCAGGUUUCCGUGGGGGUAAUAUUUCAGCAGAUGGGCUCCAGCAUAUUCACACUGGCACAUUCCAUUGAUUCACCGCCUCCUGGACCCAAAGCUUCUGGUAUUCACUCUGUCUCUGCAAGCUUAUACCUGGAGGAAACUUGCAUAAGAGCACUUGAUAAAAUAGUUGAUGUGCAGCCAGCAUCAGUUUCUCCUCAGGAGCCUAAUCUCACCGCAGUCAAUUAGGUAUAGCUUGGACAUCCAAAAGUUUAGGGCUCAAUGAUACACAUAGUUGGAAAGAGACAAUCACCCGACAGUAUCUACAGAUCAGGGAAUGUAGUCCAUUAAACAAAGCUAUAUCCUGGUAAUUUGACAGGGGAAAUGCAAAUGAGAUAUUGAUGAUGAAUGUGCAGCCGGAAACUCUUGAGAUGGACAAUGCUAUGGAGACAUUAAGUGGCCCCUGCUGAACUCUGAACCCUGAACCUUCCAGACACUCGCUUGACUGAGCAGCACUACAUGGCAAAUAUACACUUAAUCACUCGUUCGCUAACUCAUUCUCACUCUCUGUCUCUCUCUCUCUGUCUCUGUCUAUAUCACACUCUCUCUCACACACACACACACACACACACACACACACACACACACACACACACACACACACACACACACACACACACACACACACACACACACACACACACACACACACACACACACACACACGCGCGCACACACACUCACAAAGAAAGACACUCUCAGAAAGGUUUGAAGUUCCUCCUUUUGUGAGGAUUUUAAUCGUAAAUCAAUCUGACACUUUCUAUUUGAGCAUUCAUUACUGAUUUGUUGGCUAGGCAAUUUACCCUUCAUCCCCGCCUCUCUUUACAAACACAAGUUAUCACAUUCUUUUUUGCAUAUCUGCAUGUUAAAAUUCCAAAGACACUUGCACGUCUAAGCUAUCUUUGUUGCAG